AAGGAACUCUGUUUCAAAGGCUACUUCCAGGGUGGUUACACACCUUUCUGCAACAGGAAUGAUGGCUUAAGGAGAGCCUGUUUUCCAACUCUUACUUCCAUGAUGAAUGGCCCAACUGCUCAGCAAAUUGAGAUCCAUUGGAGUGGCCCAGCACGUCAGGACCAGAUUCUACUGGCAUCAGACCUGCCUGUAUGUCUAUUAUCACAUGCAGCCUUGCACUUCACAUGGAUAUCCACUGAGUUGCUAGAUGAAUCUUCACUGCACCGUCCCAGCAGAUGAACCCAGCCUAAACUUCUACUACUGCACCUGCACAGCUGCCUUGCCACCACUGCUUGUUUGUCAAGGGCUCCUCAAUGUCUGUGUAAUACGUAGAAUAUGGAAGAAAAUUAACAUACCAGUGUAUCAUGAAGCGGCCACAUCACACCAGGGUUUGGGAUUUUUGUGGGGGAGUUGUUUUGUGCUUUUCUUGUAUUGUACCUAACAGAAAUGGAGCUGGACUUUCCAGGGUAUUGUGGCAAUACAAGCUAUAAAUAAUAAUUACAAUAAUAAUCUCCAAUUUCAACAAAGCUUCUGGGCUAGCACAUAAAAACUGAAAUACUAGACUGCCAGAUUUUAAAGACAAAUGUUUUG
rnacentral:lncRNA from 1 species